rnacentral:rRNA from 1 species
UAGGGAAUCUUCGGCAAUGGGGGGAACCCUGACCGAGCAACGCCGCGUGAGUGAAGAAGGUUUUCGGAUCGUAAAGCUCUGUUGUUAAGGAAGAACGAGUGUGAGAAUGGAAAGUUCAUACUGUGACGGUACUUAACCAGAAAGGGACGGCUAACUACGUGCCAGCAGCCGCGGUAAUACGUAGGUCCCGAGCGUUGUCCGGAUUUAUUGGGCGUAAAGCGAGCGCAGGCGGUUAGAAAAGUCUGAAGUGAAAGGCAGUGGCUCAACCAUUGUAGGCUUUGGAAACUGUUUAACUUGAGUGCAGAAGGGGAGAGUGGAAUUCCAUGUGUAGCGGUGAAAUGCGUAGAUAUAUGGAGGAACACCGGUGGCGAAAGCGGCUCUCUGGUCUGUAACUGACGCUGAGGUUCGAAAGCGUGGGUAGCAAACAGGAUUAGAUACCCUGGUAGUCCACGCCGUAAACGAUGAAUGCUAGGUGUUGGAGGGUUUCCGCCCUUCAGUGCCGCAGCUAACGCAAUAAGCAUUCCGCCUGGGGAGUACGACCGCAAGGUUG